UCUGUUCUCAGGGAACUUUAAGAAGAGAUGAGAUGAAUACACAUAGCUAUGAUAGAAAGUGUGAUAUACACAUGUAAGUGGCCAGAGAGUUCUAAACAAGAGCUAUGGAGAUUCUAAACUGUGAUGACAUAGAACAUGUUCAAACCCCACCAGUAACUAGCAACUUACACUGAGUCUCUCAGUUCCUACAUCUUUAAAAUGGGGAUGGCCAUAUACUAAACUAUAGGGUUACUGAGAACAUUACAUGAGUCAAUGAAUGUGUGCUGAUGUUCAAAGAUGUGGGGGAAGAGAUUCUCUAGAAGCAAGGAGCAGCACAAACAAAGCAAAGGGAAUGUGCAUCUGAGAAAAUAAGUGGUCUAGAUCCACUGAUGAGAGGAAAGGAUUAAUAAAAGAGGAUGUCAUUCAAUCCGAAAGCCUUAGAGAUCCAUCCCAACUCCAAGCCUGUAUGGUGGUAUGGGGUGGAUAGAGAUGAUGUCCCACAAAGCAGAAGUACAGAACGGGAGUGAAACGAGACCCAACAACAGAGAGGAAAGAUUAACAGGAAGUCCUUGCUUAGGUUGGUAAGAAGCAUCAAGCUUUCAAGACUAAUGAUUUAUCUGCAUUCAAAACAAGUUCAAUUAUUGAAGCAGAACAACCCAGUAUUCAAAUCUAAAAGUCUGACAGGUUUUGUACUGUGGUUUGAAACUUAACUAUGUGAAAUAACUUGAUGGCAAUUAAAAUGAUUUAUUCUGUC
rnacentral:lncRNA from 1 species